GUGAAUCAUCAAAUUUUUGAACGCAAAUUGCACUCUCCUCUUAGAGUACGCCUAUUUGAGUUCCAGCCUAUAAAAAAUCCACAACGUUGCUGUUUCGCGGUGGCGUUCGUCGAAAAUUGGGUCAUCUUAAAUCUUUUGGUUUUAAGCUACUUCAAAUUUUCUUUUUGGAUCCAUGAACGUUUCUAAGAUUUAUGUCUUUACACGUUUAAGGUAUCGAUUUUUAUUAGUCGUGACCAUCAAAGCAGGUCGC
rnacentral:misc_RNA from 1 species